rnacentral:rRNA from 1 species
UACGGAGGGUGCAAGCGUUAUCCGGAUUCACUGGGUUUAAAGGGUGCGUAGGCGGCCCUGUAAGUCCGCUGUGAAAGUCAAAGGCUCAACCUUUGAAAGCCGGUGGAUACUGCAGGGCUAGAGUCCGGAAGAGGCGAGUGGAAUUCCUGGUGUAGCGGUGAAAUGCGCAGAUAUCAGGAGGAACACCGGUGGCGAAGGCGGGUCUCUGGGCCGAUAUUGACGCUGAGGAGCGAAAGCGUGGGGAGCGAACAGG